rnacentral:rRNA from 1 species
UACGAAGGGUGCAAGCGUUACUCGGAAUUACUGGGCGUAAAGCGUGCGUAGGUGGUUGUUUAAGUCUGUUGUGAAAGCCCUGGGCUCAACCUGGGAAUUGCAGUGGAUACUGGGCGACUAGAGUGUGGUAGAGGGUAGUGGAAUUCCCGGUGUAGCAGUGAAAUGCGUAGAGAUGCGGAGGAACACCGAUGGCGAAGGCAGCCCCCUGGGCUAACACUGACGCUCGAGGCACGAAAGCGUGGGGAGCAAACAGG